rnacentral:rRNA from 1 species
UACGAAGGGGGCUAGCGUUGUUCGGAAUUACUGGGCGUAAAGGGCGCGUAGGCUGUGCUAUAAGUCCGGUGUGAAAGUCACAGGCUCAACCUGUGAAUGCCGCUGGAAACUGUCUGGCUAGAGUCCGGAAGGGGCGAGUGGAAUUCCUGGUGUAGCGGUGAAAUGCGCAGAUAUCAGGAGGAACACCAAUGGCGAAGGCAGCUCGCUGGGACGGUACUGACGCUGAGGCGCGAAAGCGUGGGGAGCGAACAGG